rnacentral:lncRNA from 1 species
CAUAUAUACAUGGAAAUCCGAAACUGCCUCACUCUUUCUAACUAUAAGAUAGAAAUUUUUGGUUGUAAAUGCUCUUCAACUUUGUAAUAUUUGGCCCAUGGUCAUUGACACUUUUUUUAUUUGAACGUCACUGACGCGUCGUUGUAAACGAAACGCACGUCUGACGUACAACAUUCUAAUGACAGUUCUUUUUGUACAUUAAAAUAUGACAAGGUAAUGAUAACCAUUGUGAUAUAAGUUAAUAGGUACAUUAUCGUCUGAUAUUUACAUCGUAU